AGUAGCGGGGGAUAGCCCGGAGAAAUCCGGAUUAAUACCGCAUACGCCCUACGGGGGAAAGCAGGGGAUCUUCGGACCUUGCACUAUUGGAUGAGCCUGCGUCGGAUUAGCUUGUUGGUGAGGUAAAGGCUCACCAAGGCGACGAUCCGUAGCUGGUCUGAGAGGAUGAUCAGCCACACUGGGACUGAGACACGGCCCAGACUCCUACGGGAGGCAGCAGUGGGGAAUAUUGCACAAUGGGCGAAAGCCUGAUGCAGCCAUGCCGCGUGUGUGAAGAAGGCUCUAGGGUUGUAAAGCACUUUCAGCGAGGAGGAAAGGUUGAUGAUUAAUACUCAUUAGCUGUGACGUUACUCGCAGAAGAAGCACCGGCUAACUCCGUGCCAGCAGCCGCGGUAAUACGGAGGGUGCAAGCGCUAAUCGGAAUUACUGGGCGUAAAGCGUGCGUAGGCGGCUUGCUAAGUUGGAUGUGAAAGCCCCGGGCUCAACCUGGGAACUGCAUUCAAAACUGGUGAGCUAGAGUGCGGAAGAGGAGUGUGGAAUUUCCUGUGUAGCGGUGAAAUGCGUAGAUAUAGGAAGGAACACCAGUGGCGAAGGCGACAC
rnacentral:rRNA from 1 species